rnacentral:rRNA from 1 species
UACGGGGGGGGCAAGCGUUGUUCGGAAUUACUGGGCGUAAAGGGUGCGUAGGCGGUCGGGUAAGUCUGGCGUGAAAUCUCCAAGCCUAACUUGGAAACUGCGUUGGAUACUAUCCGGCUCGAGGAAUGGAGGGGAGACUGGAAUACUUGGUGUAGCAGUGAAAUGCGUAGAUAUCAAGUGGAACACCAGUGGCGAAGGCGAGUCUCUGGACAUUUCCUGACGCUGAGGCACGAAAGCCAGGGGAGCAAACGGG